CACCAGUCCACCAAUAUUUUUACACAUCCUUGCAAAGCAUUUCUUGUUUUACUCCCUUUUUCCAAGGCUAACAAUGUUGAAUCAGCUGAAAAUGUUUAAAUAAAUUGAUUUGAUUGAUGAGCAAUGCAGUCAUUAGAAUAUAGGGUAAAUAAAAAUGAAGAACUAACACAUUCUUGCGAUGAUCUGACAUUUGUAAUAAUAGAAAAUGAUUCAACAUUGUUUACCUUCACUAUUUAAAAGAAUUUUUAGAAUUCAGUCAUUUUUAUCAUAUAAAAUAUGUCAGUCCCAUUUUUAGAAGCUCUGAGGACGUCUCAAGGACUAUAAUUUGGAAUAUUUUGAGAGUCAAAUAAAUGUACAAUACAAAACAGUGUUGCUGGUAUAAGCUUGUUGUUGUAACCAGAUUGUAAUUUGAUAAUGCAUGUAAAUUUCUUUGUGUAUUAUUCUUGGUGUCAAUGUUCUGUGAUGGUCAGACUCGGUCAGACCUUGAGCCCUCUUACAUCGUCUGCCAAGCAUCUUACUUCUGUGGUUUGUUUUUGUAAAGAGUACUUCUAGAGUUCUAUGCUGUUUUUUUGCUACAAUGUGACACAUCAUAUUGAGUAUUGCCUUUUUUAUGUGAUUGUUUUUGUGACAAAAGAAAGAAUUGUUGUGCAAGAAAUUCCUGCCCCGAAAAUGAAAUCCUGCACAGGGCUGAUUCUUCUCUUGCUGGGAUUGCUUGGGGCUUCUUCAGCAGAAAAUUCCACAAAUGUGUACUACCUUGAGCUUCGCAUAGAAGAGGCAGCAUAUGAGAAUUUUACAAAGAUGCUUAAAGAACUUACACUGGAUAUAGAUAGCUCAGCAACAGUAGGAAGCCUUAGUGUGACAACAGAUUGUAUUAUGCAGAACAAAAUAGUAAAUUGUACCUGCAACCCAAACAGCAGUUGGAGUGAUGAGGUGUGUCAUAAAUACACUGACUGCUCUGUCCGUGACUGGUGCACAUUUACGACUCCAAACCCCAGGGCUAUGUGUCUCUCUAAAAACAGAGUUCUUGUCAAUGGAUUACUUACCCUUGAUGAACAAUUUCCCACAAAUCAAGAGGAAUUUAAACAUAAAUACACUACUGAGCUGGAAAAGUGGUACAGUAUGUUGGGCUGGUUUGAUUCAGUAAGCAUCACGGGACUCAGGCUUGGUAGUGUGAUUGUAGAAUUUGUGAUGUCAUUUUCAGAGCAGUUUAAUGUGGAUGCCCUUGAGAAGAUAACCAAUGGUUUAAAAAACAACAUCACUGGCGCCAAUAUCAAUCUCACAGUUGCAGGAAUCACCCACAUCUCAGGACCCAAAAAAAUAGUUCCUUAUAACACUCCUACCAGUCUAACAUGUUCAACAUUAGCGGAUCUGAAAAACCCCACAUGGUUUUUCCUAACAGACACAAAUAAAUUGAAGGAAAUUACCAAUGGGACUGAAGCUAGAGUGGUGCCGAGUUCGAAGCAGAGCACAAUCUAUAUUACUGCAGCUACAGAAGUCUGGAAAGGUGGGUUUACUUCAAAUAGGAAUCAUGGCAGUGAUGACAGUGACUAUGAUGACAUUGUAUUG
ensembl:lncRNA